GUCGAGGAUAUUUCGCAAUGGGGGAAACCCUGACGAUGCGACGCCGCGUGGGGGAUGACGGCCUUCGGGUUGUAAACCUCUGUGUUAUGGGAAGAAUUGUGAGUUAGGGAUAACCUAACUUGUUUGACGGUACCAUAGUAGAAAGCCCCAGCUAACUACGUGCCAGCAGCUGCGGUAAUACGUAGGGGGCUAGCGUUGUCCGGAAUCACUGGGCGUAAAGCGCAUGUAGGCGGCCAUAUAAGUCAGGCGUGAAAUUGCUGGGCUCAACCGAGCAACUGCGUUUGAUACUGUGUGGCUUGAGUACGGAAGAGGAAAGCGGAAUGCAAGGUGUAGCGGUGAAAUGUGUAGAUAUCUUGUAGAACACCGGUGGCGAAGGCGGCUUUCUGGUCCGAUACUGACGCUGAGUAUGCGAAAGCGUGGGGAGCAACCGGG
rnacentral:rRNA from 1 species